AUGGAUAAAGAGACAAAUGCAUCCCAAAGCUGGAAAAACUGGCAGGUCGGGUGGUUAUUUAAAAUAUUCAAAACCUUAUGGGAAACAGAAAUGCCUGAAUGUUUGUGUCUGCCUCUGAGCAGAAACUGGAUUGCACACUGGAUACACCAAGUCCUUUCCAGAAAAGUCCAUGAGGCUGUUUGUGUGCACAACUUUUUCACACCACUAGAGGGCAACAUCUUGCUGUCUAGUCCAUACAUGGAGACACACCCCUACUAUUUGUAGGACCUUCAAAUAUCUGUCCAGGAAACAGGGGUAUUCUACUUCACCCCAGUUACAAAGCCUGAACAUCCCUCACAGUGGUUUGGAAACACUUUGCUUCACAGGAGUCAAAGAGACAUCCCCAGAUCUUCCAUGUCCCUGUUAAUGUUACCUACCCUGGUUCCCUGUGCCAGGGCUGGCACAUCACUAAGUGGCAGGCUGAGUCUGACUGAGAAGUUGUUCUGAAUUCCAUGGUCUGACCCUUCUCCCUGAUGCUGCCCCUCUCUUUAAGUGGCUGUGGAAGAACUACCAAUAUGUGCUGGCCUUCCAUUUUGCCAUCCAGGAGAUCAAAAAGGAAUCUCAGCUACUCCCCAAUCUGUCCUUGGGUUUCUAUCUCUACAAUUUCUUUGACAGUGAUCAGUCUACCCUGUGGAGCACUCCACACUGGCUGACCAGAGAGCAUCAUUUCAUCCCUUACUACACCUGCCAGACACAGAACAAUUCAGUUGCCAUAAUUGCAGGGACCAAGUCUACAUUUUUCAAUGAGAGCAAAGAACCCUUUUGGAGCUCUACAAGAUCCCCCAGAUGAAUAGGCCAUGAAUUCUGGAAAGAAAUGUUGGAGCUUUUCCCACUUCUGGUGCUAGUAGAAUGUGGAUGUUGACCUCACAGUCCCACAUGAUACAGAACAGAUCCCAGGGGUUUUCCCGUGUUGUGAGACUAUAAACAGGGGAAGGAGAAGGAAGAAAGGGAAGGAGAAGUGGAAGCUUAGAGCCUCCACCAGAUUCCUGUGUAGAGCUAUGCAGCCAUCUUUCCACCGACCGGGAGUAGUGACAGCUGACUACUCACAGCCUUGUGCCUUACUGGAAAUACCCACAGCACAGAAAACUUUCCUUUCUACUCUCUUAGGAGGUAUCCAGAGGCCAAUGGCUGUCAGAUGGAUGCAGUUAUCAAUCUGCUGAGCAUUGAGUUCCAUCUGAGACAAAACUGAGGGCCAGUUCUGAAGACCUCCAAGGAGCAAUAAGGC
rnacentral:lncRNA from 1 species